CUACGGGUGGCAGCAGUGGGGAAUAUUGGACAAUGGGCGAAAGCCUGAUCCAGCCAUGCCGCGUGUGUGAAGAAGGCCUUCGGGUCGUAAAGCACUUUCAGUGGGGAAGAAAGCCUUGGGGCUAAUACCCUCGAGGAAGGACAUCACCCACAGAAGAAGCACCGGCUAACUCCGUGCCAGCAGCCGCGGUAAUACGGAGGGUGCGAGCGUUAAUCGGAAUUACUGGGCGUAAAGCGCGCGUAGGCGGUCUGAUAAGCCGGUUGUGAAAGCCCCGGGCUCAACCUGGGAACGGCAUCCGGAACUGUCAGGCUAGAGUGCAGGAGAGGAAGGUAGAAUUCCCGGUGUAGCGGUGAAAUGCGUAGAGAUCGGGAGGAAUACCAGUGGCGAAGGCGGCCUUCUGGACUGACACUGACGCUGAGGUGCGAAAGCGUGGGUAGCAAACAGGAUUAGAUACCCCAGUAGUC
rnacentral:rRNA from 1 species